CCCAGUGCCCUCUUCUAAGCUCUUUAUCAUCAUAAUUUCUGAUGUAAAGAGCAUGAUGCCAUGGACAAAAUGGGCCCUCAGUGACUAUCCGAUGCAGUGCCAGGCACUGAAUGCAGAUGCAUAUACUGGAGCUCAGAGGAUUUCAGUGAGUUACCCCGGCCACAGCCAGUGAGCAGCGAUGUCAAGAUGUCUUGAAUCCUGGGCCUCAGCUGCAAAGCCGUAACCAGUCCUCUGUGUUCCCAUGGGCCAGUGCUUUACAAAGGUCCUUGCAGGAUCAUCCCUAGAAGAUUGUGGUAUUUCUGGCCAUACGCAGGAAAGGUGCCACGGAUGCUCAAGUAUGGGCAUCAGCUACCACCCCAUCUGCUGGUGGUGCUCAUACUUCUCCGGGAUACCUCCCCUCCAGUCUCCUCCACCCCUACAGGGUCAGCACUGCUCUUAAGCCUUGAAGUGUCACAUCUGCAUGGCAGCUGCCAGCAAAAGGGAGAAAAAUCUCUGUAUCCCUUCAGGUGACACUAGUUGCUGUAUGGAUAAACACCUAAAUCUCACUUGGCUGAACACAAUAAAAGUUUAUCUGGUGCUCACA